rnacentral:rRNA from 1 species
GAUGAACGCUGGCGGCGUGCCUAAUACAUGCAAGUCGAGCGAACAGACGAGGAGCUUGCUCCUCUGACGUUAGCGGCGGACGGGUGAGUAACACGUGGAUAACCUACCUAUAAGACUGGGAUAACUUCGGGAAACCGGAGCUAAUACCGGAUAACAUGUUGAACCGCAUGGUUCAACAGUGAAAGACGGUCUUGCUGUCACUUAUAGAUGGAUCCGCGCCGCAUUAGCUAGUUGGUAAGGUAACGGCUUACCAAGGCAACGAUGCGUAGCCGACCUGAGAGGAUGAUCGGCCACACUGGAACUGAGACACGGUCCAGACUCCUACGGGAGGCAGCAGUAGGGAAUCUUCCGCAAUGGGCGAAAUCCUGACGGAGCAACGCCGCGUGAGUGAAGAAGGUCUUCGGAUCGUAAAACUCUGUUAUUAGGGAAGAACAAAUGUGUAAGUAACUAUGCACGUCUUGACGGUACCUAAUCAGAAAGCCACGGCUAACUACGUG